UUUAAUCAAAAAUGGAUUGUGUAAUAAUGUAUAAAAAUAACUUAAACCCUGUUUUAAAUGUCAUUUUUCGCAGAAAAUCCGAUUCAUAUGAAUCACGAACUAUAAACUAUAAAAUAGUUAUUACUCUCAUACUGGUGUGAGCGUUGGCUAUAUAAAUGAUAUAUUGAAGACAAUGAUAAUGAUAGUGUAAUUCAGUUCUGCAAAAUGAAUCCAGUUUAUAUGUGCUUUGUGAUUAUAUAUCUUGAUAUCGUAUUCAUGGCAAUCGGGAGUGACUCAGCAAGGAUUUCAGGAUACGACAAGGUCAUAUCGUCCCUAGCAGAUAUAUUUUGCCAAGCAGAAAAAGAAUCGAUAACUGCGAAUAAAAAGGGCGAAGAAAAAAGGAUAGCAAAGCGUUUAUGUUUUCGAUAAAAGUUUUUAUUAUUAUCUACAGUCAUAUACAUGUAGACACAUGUACACACGUUGUCCGAACGUAUCGAAGAGCAGACUGUUAUCAUUCAUUUUAGUAUGUGCGCUUUUUCCUACUAAUUGUUUUACAAUAAUGAUAUUAUAUCAGUGUUUUAUUUA